GAAAUCUCAUAUUAAACCAAUUAUAAACACUCUUUCCUAGGUAAGCGUGAAGAAAAAAAAAACCCUAAUUUAUUUUCUUUUCUUUCCUCUUUCUUCUUCCUGUCAUGUUUCACCAUGGGCAAACAUGACAAGUCGGCCGUCUAGCCAUUUUUGGCGCCACCACUGGUCCCAAACGAAGCAUCAAACUGGUGUUAGUCCCGUCAUCCACCACCAUUAACGGUCUCUACUUUUAUUGGAAUUGCAACUUGAAGCCACGGACAACCUACACUUUGGGAGCCUGAUCCGGCCACCUCCGACAUCUUCUUGGCAAACAAACUCCGCCAAUGGACUCACCGGAGCAAGGAGCACGUAGGCCAGCCAAGUUCCGGUAGAAACAAUCACCGAAAGUUGCCAACCCUCGUUUGACACGAUUUUUCCGACUCGUUGACCUGGAGAUCGAGGAGUCGAAGUAGACGCUAUAGAUGUGCAUUUGAUUUGCACUGCAAUCGAGGCAAGUACGAAGAUGGCGGCCAGUUUUUGAGGGGUGAGCGGUUUUCCAUGGAUACAGUCGAGGUUAUGGGUAGUGUAGGGUUAAUAUUAUAAAGACUUCCGCUUUGUUAAAUUUUAAAGACUUAUUAAUUAUGUCUUAAUGGAUUUCUAAA